rnacentral:tRNA from 1 species
GCUGGUAUAGCUCAAUUGGUAGAGCGCCUGACUUGUAAUCAGGAGGUUGCGGGUUCAAUUCCCUCUACUAGCU